CUACGGGCUGCACCAGUGAGGAAUUUUGCGCAAUGGGGGGAACCCUGACGCAGCAACGCCGUGUGAGUGAAGAAGGCCUUUGGGUCGUAAAGCUCUGUCAACUGGGAAGAAGUUACUAUGCUUAAAUAGAGUGUAGUAUUGACGGUACCAGUGGAGGAAGCGUCGGCUAACUCCGUGCCAGCAGCCGCGGUAACACGGGGGACGCAAGCGUUAUCGGAAUUAUUGGGCGUAAAGGGCGCGUAGGCGGUCUGGUCGGUCAGGUGUGAAAGCCCGGGGCUCAACCCCGGACGUGCACUUGAAACAGCAAGACUUGAGUACGGGAGAGGAAAGCGGAAUUCCUGGUGUAGAGGUGAAAUUCGUAGAUAUCAGGAGGAACACCGAUGGCGAAGGCAGCUUUCUGGACCGAAACUGACGCUGAGGCGCGAAGGCGUGGGUAGCGAACGGGAUUAGAUACCCGGGUAGUC
rnacentral:rRNA from 1 species